UAGCUAAUACCGGAUAACAACAGAUGAUGCCUAUCAACUGUUUAAAAGAUGGUUCUGCUAUCACUCUUGGAUGGACCUGCGGUGCAUUAGCUAGUUGGUAGGGUAACGGCCUACCAAGGCGAUGAUGCAUAGCCGAGUUGAGAGACUGAUCGGCCACAUUGGGACUGAGACACGGCCCAAACUCCUACGGGAGGCAGCAGC
rnacentral:rRNA from 1 species